rnacentral:rRNA from 1 species
AAUAGAUACCCGGGUAGUCCACGCCGUAAACGAUGGAUACUAGCUGUUUGAGCGCAAGUUUGAGUGGCUAAGCGAAAGUGAUAAGUAUCCCACCUGGGGAGUACGGGCGCAAGCCUGAAACUCAAAGGAAUUGACGGGGGCCCGCACAAGCGGUGGAGCAUGUGGUUUAAUUCGAUGAUACGCGAGGAACCUUACCAGGGCUUAAAUGUAGAUUGACGUAUUUGGAAACAGAUAUUUCUUCGGACAAUUUACAAGGUGCUGCAUGGUUGUCGUCAGCUCGUGCCGUGAGGUGUCAGGUUAAGUCCUAUAACGAGCGCAACCCCUGUUGUUAGUUGCCAGCGAGUAAUGUCGGGAACUCUAGCAAGACUGCCAGUGUAAACUGUGAGGAAGUGGGGAUGACGUCAAAUCAUCACGGCCCUUACGUCCUGGGCCACACACGUGCUACAAUGGCCGGUACAGAGAGCAGCCACUUAGCGAUAAGGAGCGAAUCUAUAAAGCCGGUCACAGUUCGGAUCGGAGUCUGCUAACCG